ACUGCAGGUGUGGAAACAGGAAGAGAACUAGAACUGGAAGUAAAGCAUUGAAGAUGUGACUGAAUUGCUGCAAUCUCAUGAUCAAAUUUGAAUGGAUGAGGAGUUGCUUUUUAGGGAUGAGCAAAGAAAGUGGUUUCUCGAGAUGGAAUCUACUGGUGAAGUUGCUGUGAACAUUGUUAAAAUGCCAAUAAAGGAUUUAGGAAUUACAGAAACCUGGUUGAUAAAGCAGUGCCAGGGUGUGAGAGAGUUGACUUCAAUUUUGAAAUAAGUUCCACUGGCUGGGUGUGGUGGCUCACACCUGCAAUCCCAGUACUUUAGGAGGCCGAGACUGGUAGAUCAUUUGAGGUCAGGAGUUCAAGACCAGCCUUGCCAACAUGGUGAAACCCCACCUCUACCAAAUUAGCCAGGUGUGGUGCACACCUGUAGUCCCAGCUACUUGGGAAGCUGAGGCAGGAGAAUCUCUUGAACCAGGGAGGAGGAGGUUGCAGUAAGCCGAGAUGGCGCCCCUGCACUCCAGCCUGGGUGACAGAGUGAGACCUUGCGUUUAAAAAAAAAAAAAAAGGAAAAGGAAAAAAAAGUUCUACUGUGGGUAAAAUGCUAUCAUGCUAUCAAACAGCAUCACAUGCUACAGAGAAGUCUUGUGAAAGGAUGUCAGUGUGGCAAACUUCAUUGUCUUUUAAGAAAUUGCCACAGCUAUCGUAAUCUUCAACCACCACCACCCUGAUGAGUCAGUAGCCAUCGUUAACGUUGGCGUAAGACCCUCCACCAGCAAAAAGAUUGUUAGCAUUUUUUUAGCAGUGAUGUAUUUAUCAAUUAUACAUAAUGCUAUUGUACACUUCUUAAUAGACUAUGGUAUAGUGUAACCAUAAUUUAUGCACUGGGAAACCAACAAAUUCAUGAGAUUCGCUUUAUUGUAGUGCUCUGGAAUUGAGCCUGCCGUGUUUCUGAGGUAUACCUGUGUAUUUAGUAUGUUCCUUGUAUAUAAAACCCCAUUUUAUAGGGUAGGAAACUAAGGCUUAGAGUUUGAGCAAUUUUCCCAUAGAUAACACCAAUAAAUUGAGGGCUGCAGAGACCACUUAAGUGGUUCUCUUAACAGUAGUCUAGACAUGACGUAAUGAGAUUUGGCUUAGGAGUGACAAUGGUAAGGAAGUUAAAGGAUUCAGGAACCAAAUACCAGUUAUUGAGAAGAAAGAAUGGCCUCAAAACAUCACUUCUCAAGGAAGCCUUGAUACCCUCACCCUUACUACACUGUAUCCUCCAUUUGAAUGUUGUCAAGAGCUCUUCUCACAAUUGUAAAUAAUAAUUGUGUAAUUUUGUUUUUUUUUUCCUACUUUAGGUUGCUCCUUGAGGGCAGGACAGUUCUUAUGGCUUUAUCCGUUGCGUAAGCACAGAGAGGUCUGCGAGGUCAAAACUAUUGUCAUGAUAGCAAGAUGCCUGUCUUUUUCAUUUAUUCUCACGGUGUGCAGAGGCUACAUGAUGUGUGAUGACAUCCUCAUUGAUGUUAAUGAAUGGUGCUAUACUUGAAUUUUCUAAGGUGUCAUUAGGUAGGUUUAGGUAUGCAUACUUGUUUUUAGAAAUUAUUUUUUUCCUUUUUCCCAUUUUUAGAAAUCAACUCAUUUUUUAGGUUAUGCCUUCAGUAAUCUUUGCAACCUCAAUAUUGUGUAAUGGUUACUUUAAAAUACUGUAGUUUUCUUUGUGCCUAAGUAUAAACAUAAGUACAUUUUGUUGUUUUGUUUGCAAUAGUGGUUUAAAUAUUUUCCCAAAAUAUCCAAAUUUAAAAAUUCUACAACUUUAGAAUUUAAUAAAUUUAUUCUAAAAUAUUUAUAUAUUUUUUCAUUUAAGAAUGGAUCGGCUUAAAAAGACUGCUUCUCAUUUACUUACUGGCUAUACCAUCUGUAUACUAAUAAAAAACAAGAUUUGAUUUGGAAGGACUGACUCAAACUAACGAAAAUAUGAAACCUGUCUUUCUGCUUUGGAGAUAUUUACCUAAUCAUGUUCUGCAGUAGAAUAAUUUAGUUCUUUUGUCUUUUUUUGGAGAUGAGGUCUUGCUGUGUUGCCCAGGCUAUUCACAGCUGCCAUCAUAGUGAACUACAGCCUGAAACUCCUGGGUUCAAGAGAUCCUUCUGCCUCAGCCUCCUGAGUAGCUGGAACUAUAGGCAUGCGCCACCAAGCCUGGGCUUUUAAAAAAAUUUUAAAAAGAAUUUUGAGACAGGAUCUUGCCAUGUUGCUCAGGCUAGUCUUCAACUCCUAGCCCUGAGUGAUCUUGCUUUGGGCCUCUCAAAAUGUUGAGUUAAUAGGCGUGAGCCACCAUACCCAGCCAAAAAUUUUUUUAGAGAUGGGAAUGGAAUGAUCUUGAAUAGUGUUGGUGCCACCUAUGUUGUGGCAUCAUUUUGAAACCAAUCAUUCAGAGUGCUUUUUUUGGUAAGGCAUUAUUUUUUAAUGCAGGUAUGCCACUACUGGGAAAAAAAAAAAAACAGGUUUUAAAGCUAGAAAUGAAAAGCUACUUAAGUAUCUUAAAGGAUAAGUUACUUUAUUAUACACUAGAAACAUACACAAUAGCUGAAAAACUUAAAAAAUCUCACACUGCUGAAUGUCUCUGCUGGCUGAAGUGUAAGUAAAAGAUCAUAGUAGUGCCGCUGUUGAGUGAUAAAGCAACUUGUCAUUAAAGAUGUGUGUGCAGACAUGGAUUCUGAGUUAAUAUCUCAUCUGUAGAAGUAUAUAUUUGUCCCUUGCUUUGGGAUUGGUUUCUGGACAGCACUCCCCCACCCUUGCUGGCCAUUUGCCAAGGACACCAAAACCCAAGGAUGUUGAAUUCCCUUUUAUAAAAUGGCGCUGUAUCUGCAUACAACUUACACACAUCCUCCCAUAUACUUUAAAUCAUUUCCAGAUUUCUUAUACUUCAUACAAUGUGAAUGCUAUAUAAAUAGUUGUUACAUUGUGUACUUAUAUUUGUACUAUUGUAUUAAAUAUUCUCAAAUAUUUUCAAGC
rnacentral:lncRNA from 1 species